UGCAGUCGAACGCGUUGGCCCAAUUGAUUGAUGGUGCUUGCACCUGAUUGAUUUUGGUCGCCAACGAGUGGCGGACGGGUGAGUAACACGUAGGUAACCUGCCCAGAAGCGGGGGACAACAUUUGGAAACAGAUGCUAAUACCGCAUAACAGCGUUGUUCGCAUGAACAACGCUUAAAAGAUGGCUUCUCGCUAUCACUUCUGGAUGGACCUGCGGUGCAUUAGCUUGUUGGUGGGGUAAUGGCCUACCAAGGCGAUGAUGCAUAGCCGAGUUGAGAGACUGAUCGGCCACAAUGGGACUGAGACACGGCCCAUACUCCUACGGGAGGCAGCAGUAGGGAAUCUUCCACAAUGGGCGCAAGCCUGAUGGAGCAACACCGCGUGAGUGAAGAAGGGUUUCGGCUCGUAAAGCUCUGUUGUUAAAGAAGAACACGUAUGAGAGUAACUGUUCAUACGUUGACGGUAUUUAACCAGAAAGUCACGGCUAACUACGUGCCAGCAGCCGCGGUAAUACGUAGGUGGCAAGCGUUAUCCGGAUUUAUUGGGCGUAAAGAGAGUGCAGGCGGUUUUCUAAGUCUGAUGUGAAAGCCUUCGGCUUAACCGGAGAAGUGCAUCGGAAACUGGAUAACUUGAGUGCAGAAGAGGGUAGUGGAACUCCAUGUGUAGCGGUGGAAUGCGUAGAUAUAUGGAAGAACACCAGUGGCGAAGGCGGCUACCUGGUCUGCAACUGACGCUGAGACUCGAAAGCAUGGGUAGCGAACAGGAUUAGAUACCCUGGUAGUCCAUGCCGUAAACGAUGAGUGCUAGGUGUUGGAGGGUUUCCGCCCUUCAGUGCCGGAGCUAACGCAUUAAGCACUCCGCCUGGGGAGUACGACCGCAAGGUUGAAACUCAAAGGAAUUGACGGGGGCCCGCACAAGCGGUGGAGCAUGUGGUUUAAUUCGAAGCUACGCGAAGAACCUUACCAGGUCUUGACAUCUUGCGCCAACCCUAGAGAUAGGGCGUUUCCUUCGGGAACGCAAUGACAGGUGGUGCAUGGUCGUCGUCAGCUCGUGUCGUGAGAUGUUGGGUUAAGUCCCGCAACGAGCGCAACCCUUGUUACUAGUUGCCAGCAUUAAGUUGGGCACUCUAGUGAGACUGCCGGUGACAAACCGGAGGAAGGUGGGGACGACGUCAGAUCAUCAUGCCCCUUAUGACCUGGGCUACACACGUGCUACAAUGGACGGUACAACGAGUCGCGAACUCGCGAGGGCAAGCAAAUCUCUUAAAACCGUUCUCAGUUCGGACUGCAGGCUGCAACUCGCCUGCACGAAGUCGGAAUCGCUAGUAAUCGCGGAUCAGCAUGCCGCGGUGAAUACGUUCCCGGGCCUUGUACACACCGCCCGUCACACCAUGAGAGUUUGUAACACCCAAAGUCGGUGGGGUAACCUUUUAGGAGCCAGCCGCCU
rnacentral:rRNA from 1 species